rnacentral:rRNA from 1 species
UUGGGUUAGUGGCGGACGGGUGAGUAACGCGUGGGUAACCUGCCUUACACAGGGGGAUAACACUUAGAAAUAGGUGCUAAAACCGCAUAAGCGCACAGCUUCGCAUGAAGCGGUGUGAAAAACUCCGGUGGUGUAAGAUGGACCCGCGUCUGAUUAGCUUGUUGGCGGGGUAACGGCCCACCAAGGCGACGAUCAGUAGCCGGCCUGAGAGGGCGGACGGCCACAUUGGGACUGAGACACGGCCCAGACUCCUACGGGAGGCAGCAG